rnacentral:rRNA from 1 species
GGAAACGACUGCUAAUACCCCAUAUGCCUACGGGUGAAACGGUGAAUUCCGCCUGAAGAUGAACUCGCGUCAGAUUAGCUAGUUGGUGGGGUAAGGGCCUACCAAGGCGACGAUCUGUAGCUGGUCUGAGAGGAUGAUCAGCCACACUGGGACUGAGACACGGCCCAGACUCCUACGGGAGGCAGCAGUGGGGAAUUUUCCGCAAUGGGCGAAAGCCUGACGGAGCAACGCCGCGUGCGGGAUGACGGCCUGUGGGUUGUAAACCGCUUUUCUCAGGGAAGAAGAUCUGACGGUACCUGAGGAAUCAGCAUCGGCUAACUCCGUGCCAGCAGCCGCGGUAAUACGGAGGAUGCAAGCGUUAUCCGGAAUUAUUGGGCGUAAAGCGUCCGCAGGCGGCUUAUCAAGUCUGCUGUUAAAUGUCGGGGCUCAACUCCGAUUUGGCAGUGGAAACUGAUAGGCUAGAGUACGGUAGGGGUAGAGGGAAUUCCCAGUGUAGCGGUGAAAUGCGUAGAUAUUGGGAAGAACACCAGUGGCGAAGGCGCUCUACUGGGCCGUAACUGACGCUGAGGGACGAAAGCU